rnacentral:rRNA from 1 species
UGCCUUAGUAGCGGCGAGUGAGCGGCAAAAGCUCAAAUUUGAAAUCUGGCGCCUUCGGUGUCCGAGUUGUAAUUUGAAGAUUGUAACCUUGGGGUUGGCUCUUGUCUAUGUUUCUUGGAACAGGACGUCACAGAGGGUGAGAAUCCCGUGCGAUGAGAUGCCCAAUUCUAUGUAAGGUGCUUUCGAAGAGUCGAGUUGUUUGGGAAUGCAGCUCUAAGUGGGUGGUAAAUUCCAUCUAAAGCUAAAUAUUGGCGAGAGACCGAUAGCGAACAAGUACAGUGAUGGAAAGAUGAAAAGAACUUUGAAAAGAGAGUGAAAAAGUACGUGAAAUUGUUGAAAGGGAAGGGUUUGAGAUCAGACUCGAUAUUUUGUGAGCCUUGCCUUCGUGGCGGGGUGACCCGCAGCUUAUCGGGCCAGCAUCGGUUUGGGCGGUAGGAUAAUGGCGUAGGAAUGUGACUUUACUU